rnacentral:rRNA from 1 species
UACAGAGGGUGCAAACGUUGUUCGGAAUUACUGGGCGUAAAGCGCGUGCAGGCGGCCUUGCAAGUCGGACGUGAAAUCCCACGGCUCAACCGUGGAAGUGCAUUCGAAAACUGCGAGGCUGGAGCCUGGAGGAGGAAAGUGGAAUACUCGGUGUAGAGGUGAAAUUCGUAGAUAUCGAGUGGAACACCGGUGGCGAAGGCGGCUUUCUGGACAGGUACUGACGCUGAGACGCGAAAGCGUGGGGAGCAAACAGG